AUUGAACGCUGGCGGCAGGCCUAACACAUGCAAGUCGAACGGUAGCACAGAGAGCUUGCUCUCGGGUGACGAGUGGCGGACGGGUGAGUAAUGUCUGGGAAACUGCCCGAUGGAGGGGGAUAACUACUGGAAACGGUAGCUAAUACCGCAUAACGUCGCAAGACCAAGUGGGGGACCUUCGGGCCUCACACCAUCGGAUGUGACCAGAUGGGAUUAGCUAGUAGGUGGGGUAAUGGCUCACCUAGGCGACGAUCCCUAGCUGGUCUGAGAGGAGGACGAGCCACACUGGAACUUGGGCACGGUCCAGACUCCUACGGGGGGCAGCAGUGGGGAAUAUUGCACAAUGGGCGCAAGCCUGAUGCAGCCAUGCCGCGUGUAUGAAGAAGGCCUUCGGGUUGUAAAGUACUUUCAGCGGGGAGGAAGGCGGUGAAGUUAAUAGCUUCACCGAUUGACGUUACCCGCAGAAGAAGCACCGGCUAACUCCGUGCCAGCAGCCGCCGCAG
rnacentral:rRNA from 1 species